rnacentral:tRNA from 1 species
GCCCCAGUAGCUCAGUAUGGAAGAGCAGCGGUUUCCUAAACCGCGUGUCCGCCGUUCGAAUCGGCGCUGGGGCA